UGCAGUCGAACGAGAUCUUCGGAUCUAGUGGCGCACGGGUGAGUAACGCGUGGGAACCUACCUUUUAGUACGGGACAACGUUUGGAAACGAACGCUAAUACCGUAUACGCCCUCCGGGGGAAAGGUCAGCCGCUGAAAGAGGGGCCCGCGUCUGAUUAGCUUGUUGGUAAGGUAACGGCUUACCAAGGCAACGAUCAGUAGCUGGUCUGAGAGGAUGAUCAGCCACACUGGGACUGAGACACGGACCAGACUCCUACGGGAGGCAGCAGUGGGGAAUAUUGGACAAUGGAGGCAACUCUGAUCCAGCAAUGCCGCGUGUGUGAUGAAGGCCCUAGGGUUGUAAAGCACUUUCAACGGUGAAGAUGAUGACGGUAUCCGUAGAAGAAGCCCCGGCUAACUUCGUGCCAGCAGCCGCGGUAAUACGAAGGGGGCGAGCGUUAUUCGGAAUUAUUGGGCGUAAAGGGCCCGCAGGCUGCUUGAACAGUUAGACGUGAAAUCCCCGGGCUUAACCUGGGAACUGCGUUUAAUACUAGCAAGCUAGAGAAAUAGAGAGGAAAGUGGAACUCCCAGUGUAGAGGUGAAAUUCGUAGAUAUUGGGAAGAACACCAGUGGCGAAAGCGACUUUCUGGCUAUUUUCUGACGCUGAGAGCGAAAGCGUGGGGAGCAAACAGGAUAGAUACCCUGGUAGUCCACGCUGUAAACGAUGUGUGCUAGAUG
rnacentral:rRNA from 1 species